CCUACGGGAUGCAGCAGUGGGGAAUAUUGGGCAAUGGGCGCAAGCCUGACCCAGCAACGCCGCGUGAAGGAAGAAGGCUUUCGGGUUGUAAACUUCUUUUCUCAGGGACGAAGCAAGUGACGGUACCUGAGGAAUAAGCCACGGCUAAAUACGUGCCAGCAGCCGCGGGAAUACGUAGGUGGCAAGCGUUAUCCGGAUUUACUGGGUGUAAAGGGCGUGUAGGCGGGAAAGCAAGUCAGCUGUGAAAACCAUGGGCUCAACCUGUGGCCUGCAUUUGAAACUGUUUUUCUUGAGUACUGGAGAGGCAGACGGAAUUCCUAGUGUAGCGGUGAAAUGCGUAGAUAUUAGGAGGAACACCAGUGGCGAAGGCGGUCUGCUGGUCAGCAACUGACGCUGAGGCGCGAAAGCGUGGGGAGCAAACAGGAUUAGAUACCCUGGUAGUC
rnacentral:rRNA from 1 species